UAACCUAGCGGCGGACGGGUGAGUAAUGCUUAGGAAUCUGCCUAUUAGUGGGGGACAACAUCUCGAAAGGGAUGCUAAUACCGCAUACGUCCUACGGGAGAAAGCAGGGGACCUUCGGGCCUUGCGCUAAUAGAUGAGCCUAAGUCGGAUUAGCUAGUUGGUGGGGUAAAGGCCUACCAAGGCGACGAUCUGUAGCGGGUCUGAGAGGAUGAUCCGCCACACUGGGACUGAGACACGGCCCAGACUCCUACGGGAGGCAGCAGUGGGGAAUAUUGGACAAUGGGGGGAACCCUGAUCCAGCCAUGCCGCGUGUGUGAAGAAGGCCUUUUGGUUGUAAAGCACUUUAAGCGAGGAGGAGGCUACCGAGAUUAAUACUCUUGGAUAGUGGACGUUACUCGCAGAAUAAGCACCGGCUAACUCUGUGCCAGCAGCCGCGGUAAUACAGAGGGUGCAAGCGUUAAUCGGAUUUACUGGGCGUAAAGCGCGCGUAGGUGGCCAAUUAAGUCAAAUGUGAAAUCCCCGAGCUUAACUUGGGAAUUGCAUUCGAUACUGGUUGGCUAGAGUAUGGGAGAGGAUGGUAGAAUUCCAGGUGUAGCGGUGAAAUGCGUAGAGAUCUGGAGGAAUACCGAUGGCGAAGGCAGCCAUCUGGCCUAAUACUGACACUGAGGUGCGAAAGCAUGGGGAGCAAACAGGAUUAGAUACCCUGGUAGUCCAUGCCGUAAACGAUGUCUACUAGCCGUUGGGGCCUUUGAGGCUUUAGUGGCGCAGCUAACGCGAUAAGUAGACCGCCUGGGGAGUACG
rnacentral:rRNA from 1 species